GGUGGAACCGACCCACCAACGUCGUUUUAUAGGAGAAGGCGUUAAACCACCUAAAGGUGCUGUUGUAAAGAGCGAUGGUACUGAGCGUUUAGGAAACGGCUAGUCAAGAACUGGUCAGGU
rnacentral:ncRNA from 1 species